CACUGCAAAGAGAGGGGUGUAGUAAUAAAAGGAAAAUAAGGCAAUUUCCUCAUCUUUUCUGCUUUAAAACAAUGAGUUUCCCCCCUAUAAAAUAAAGCUAUCUCUACAUCUAGGCCCAGUUUCUUGACCCCCGUGCUACCCACAAGCUCCAAGCCCUGCUUGAUGUGCAAUGAAAACCAACGCUAUCGUGGUAAGUCCAGGAGUAUCACUGCUUUGCUGAAGGACAUCAGCACAGAAGAGGUGGCAACGCCUUGGAAAAUGACUGAUACAUCAACUGAGGAUGCUUAAGAUGGUUCCAUGGCUUUGGACACUGGCAGAAUCUCGAGGCCUGAAGAAUCAUGCCUGAAUCUCCUUCCAAGAGCUGUAGCAAACACUUAACCUGAUACAUGGAACUUGAAGGCAAGAAUCUAGAGGUCUACCAAUAAGGGCCUUAGAGAGAAAAGACGCUGCAUUGCAGGAAAGAUUUAGUAAACUCACCUUCUUGCAUUGCAGCAUCUUCCCACAAUGGGCUGGAGGCAUCCUGCCAUCUUCAUCUCUUCUAGUCCACUGCGAUGGCAGAAGUGUCACUCAGUCUCUAUAGAUGGCAGGAUCAGUCACCUGGAUAUCAAGGCAAUCAAACCAUGAGCCAUAAGAGAGCUUAAAGAAAAACACAACAAUUAAGAAGAAUCCACCAACAACUGAGCAUAUUUUGCACAGGUAUCGGCUUAUUAUGACACAGAUUUCUCCUGUUGUCCUUGGAUAACCUUCCUCUCCUCUCCCCUCAUCUGCCUGCCCGUCUCACUCCGACAGCCUCAUUUCAACAGUGUGAAAGGUUGUUCAUUUUAUACAAGUCUUUCACAAGAGAUGAAAAUUCAACUAUGCUCUAAUUAGCUGCCGUUCCACAUAAGUCACUGUUAUUGCAGCUUUUAGAUUAGAACUAAAUUUGUCCCACAAAUGUGUGUCAAAUAUUACAGUGGAAUGAUUAACGAUAUCACACAUAAUGGAAGGAUUAAGCAGUGAUGCAGGAGAGUCGCUGGAGAGGAACAGUUUAAGCUGCUUUCUAACUCCUAAUUUUUGGCCUGGAUGGUAAAAGAACCUGAAAUUGAAAAUAAAAAUGGCUUG